GACGAACGCUGGCGGCGUGCUUAACACAUGCAAGUCGAACGGAAAGGCCCUGCUUUUGUGGGGUGCUCGAGUGGCGAACGGGUGAGUAACACGUGAGUAACCUGCCCUUGACUUUGGGAUAACUUCAGGAAACUGGGGCUAAUACCGGAUAGGAGCUCCUGCUGCAUGGUGGGGGUUGGAAAGUUUCGGCGGUUGGGGAUGGACUCGCGGCUUAUCAGCUUGUUGGUGGGGUAGUGGCUUACCAAGGCUUUGACGGGUAGCCGGCCUGUGAGGGUGACCGGCAACAUUGGGACUGAGAUACGGCCCAGACUCCUACGGGAGGCAGCAGUGGGGAAUAUUGCACAAUGGGCGGAAGCCUGAUGCAGCAACGCCGCGUGCGGGAUGACGGCCUUCGGGUUGUAAACCGCUUUCGCCUGUGACGAAGCGUGAGUGACGGUAAUGGGUAAAGAAGCACCGGCUAACUACGUG
rnacentral:rRNA from 1 species